rnacentral:lncRNA from 1 species
UGAAAUACUCAUUGGCCUGAAUGUUCCUCUGGAAUAGGUUCAUUGUCUUUCUGGUCUUACCCAAAACUAUUUUAUUCAUUUAGUAUAUUUUAUGAUUGUUUACCAUUAUUGUAAAACACCUUCUCCUGCCCAUCAGGAAGGUUACUCAUAUUUCUUAUUUAAAAAAAUCACUCAUAUAAUUUUUAAAGUUGGUAAUAUAGUAAUAUGGUCUAAAUAUCAAAAAAUUACCAAAACUAUAUAGUGGAAUCCCUUCCUGCCCCUAUUUCUCAUCUGUGUAGUCAAAAAUCUUCAUUUCACCUCAAAACUACCAAAGCCAGGUAGUUUUUCUAUCCUUUUUACAUGGUAACAUAUCCAUUUUGUGCACUCUGCCUUUCUCAUUUAAUAAUAUAACAUAGAGAUCUUUUUCGAGUUACUUAACAUUUGAUAAAAAUUAUUUUCUUUAAGAGAAUAAAGGGAACCUUUAAGAAUUGCUGGGACCUUUCAAAGAUGACAUAAUAAGGAAAAAUUAGGAAGUUUCUUGGGGUUGGGUCAGAUGCUGAUGGAGUUUGGCAUCUUAUUUUUCUCAGUAGAGAUUACGUAGGAAUACUGAAGAGGAAGAAAAAAGAUAACAGCACAUCAGCCAAGGACACAGCAUGAAAAAAACAAAAAAAGGGAAAAGAGGGAUCCAGAGCCAUCUGUGCCAAUGGUGAGUGGAAGCUACAUAGUUUGAGUUAAGAGCAAGACAGUUGACCAGGGCCUAGUUGGCCUGUAGGGCAAAGGUAAGGUCACGGCCUCUGAGUAGUUCUAGAUCAACACGAGAUAGGAAGGAAGAAGGGAAUGUUCAGAUUGCCCUAGGUGCAAGGAGGUAAUGCUGGAUCUAUAUUCAGAGAGAGUGGGAUCAAAGCACACAUAUAAGCUUAGAAAUCAGAGCUGCAUUUAAACCCCAUGUGAGUUAAGCACUUUUAGGGAAAUUACUUAAUUUCCCCUCACCUAAGUUUUCUUAUCUGUGAAACGAGAAUAAGAAUAAGAAUAAUAACCAUUUACAGGGCUGUCUUAGGGUAACAUGGCACUGUUUGAAAUGUAAAUUAUUCUUAGAACAUUUUCAGUGGGAGUUGCAUUGCCCCUUUAGUGUCUUAAUUUGAAAGAAUUAUUUUACUGUCAUGACUAAACAUAGAAACUUCAAGAGAACAUAUUUUCUUUUUUAAAACUUAUUUGAGAGAGAGAGAAGACACGUGUGAGCAAGGGGAAGGGCAGAGGGAGAGGGAGAGACAGAAUCUGAAGCAGACUACAUGCUGAGCAUGGAGCCUGACACGGGGCUUGAUCUCAGGACCCUGAGAUCAUAACCUGAGCUGAAAUCAAGAAUUGGACAUUUAACCAACUAAGUUACUACCCAGCUGCCCCCAUAAGAACAUAUUUUCAAAAAAUUAUGUGUCAGUGGGUUUUUCAUUGAUAAUUGGCUUAAUUUAAAAUAUUAGACUAGACUAAUAUUAAAGUCCUUGCUGGACUUCCAUUAGUUGAGUACAAUCUUUGCAUUAAACUAUCUGCUACAAUAAUGAAUGACUUUAUAAAAUUCUGCAAAAUUUGAAGGUUACAUUAACAUAAAAGAAAAUUAUGGUAAUACAUUCCAGUUAACGCAGGAAUUACCAGAUAAAUAGUGUUAAACUCUUGUCCAAUAGCAAGAGUUGAUUCAGAUGGACAGUAUGAUUUAUUUAUUUUUUUAACCAAAUACCUCCUCAGUAAAUUAUAAUGGCUUUGCAGUAAUGUGUAUCUGGAAAAUUGAGUCGUCUCUAGGAUGACAUGCAUGUUUCAAGUGGUAUUGAAAGCUGCACUGAUGGAUAUGUAUAAUAAACAUAACUGUUAUUAAUGAACUCUGUGUUCAUUUAAUGAGAAAUAAAAGUAACUUGUAGAUGAAUACCUUUAAAAAACUAAAAUAAACAGGGUGAUGUAUAAAGAGUGCUUAGCACAGUGCCUGACUCAUAGUAGUGAGCAGUGAGCAAAUUAAUAUAUUUGCACUUGUAUUAUAAGUGUUAAAGUUAAUAAGGGAGAAGAAUAUUUCCUAAAGGCCAGAGAGGAGACACCAACCAUCAGGUGAAAAAAGUUUCUGCCUCAGCUGGUGUGGUGACGUCAGGGCCUUGGGUGAGAAGGCCUCUUCUUCGAGGGCUAAAAACCAUGAGGUGUAAGAGGUGAUGAAGUGAGCCUCACAGCCAAACACAAAGGAUCUUACUUACCUGUGAGAUGGAGGUCAUCAAUAAGAAACAACCAGUUCUUCCUUGGACUGGAGAGGUAGGGGAUAACUAAAAAUGGUAUGCCUGGAAGAAGCAAGAUUUUUUGCUUACAUUAGAGUGCUUAAAGCUGUUGAAAAUCUAAUUUAAGUACUAAUAACUGAAAAUGCUGAUAUGACAGGGAAAAUGCUAUUUUUAACACACACCCACUAUCUCUGAAAGGCAGAUGUUUUAAUAGGUGUGGACAUGGAAGUCUAGAGAAAGAAGCCAGGGGAGGACUGAGCUGUCCUGUAUAAUAGAGGGAGGAAGCUUAUGGGAAAGAAAAGACCUCAGAGAACAAAUGAGUCUGAUCAAGACUUUUAAGUAGUUUA